ACAUCUUUUCUAUUCCCCAAAACGGAGGAAAAGAAACCAACAGGGAUUGCCUCAGUAACGGCGAGUGAAGCGGCAAAAGCUCAAAUUUGAAAUCUAGCACCUUCGGUGUUCGAGUUGUAAUUUGAAGAUGGUAACCUUGGGUUUGGCUCUUGUCUAUGUUCCUUGGAACAGGACGUCAUAGAGGGUGAGAAUCCCGUCUGAUGAGAUGCCCAUUCCUAUGUAAGGUGCUAUCGAAGAGUCGAGUUGUUUGGGAAUGCAGCUCUAAGUGGGUGGUAAAUUCCAUCUAAAGCUAAAUAUUGGCGAGAGACCGAUAGCGAACAAGUACAGUGAUGGAAAGAUGAAAAGAACUUUGAAAAGAGAGUGAAAAAGUACGUGAAAUUGUUGAAAGGGAAGGGCAUUAGAUCAGACUUGGUGUUUUACGAUUAUCUUCUCUUCUUGAGUUGUGCACUCGUAUUUCACUGGGCCAGCAUCGAUUCGGAUGGCAAGAUAAUGGCAGUUGAAUGUGGCUUCACUUCGGUGGAGUGUUAUAGCUUCUGCUGAUAUUGCCUGUCUGGAUCGAGGGCUGCGUCUUUUGACUAGGAUGCUGGCGUAAUGAUCUAAUGCCGCCCGUCUUAAACCCCGGAACCAAACACCA
rnacentral:rRNA from 1 species